CAGAAAUCUCUGCCCUGUUCCUCUGCCUGUUUCACAUGCCCUCUGGAAAUCCUUCCUCAGUGAACCUCAGUAAUACCAUGACCUGCUUUUUAAUAACAGAGACCUUUUGGAAUCUUAUCUCGUAUUUUUACCUGAAUGUCCAUCGAUCUUAUCUGCUUUAUAAAAGGCACGCCCCUUGAAAACAGAGAGUAAACUGUGAAUACUCUAAUAAGAGAGUCUGUGAAGGCAUCGUAGAAAACUGAACCUGGGUCAUGAAGAAAGACUGUCCCAAGGGGGUCUAUGGAGCUGGCUGCUCUUCAGAAUGUCAGUGUGUGGAGGAGAACACCCUGGAAUGCAGUGCCAAAAAUGGCACUUGCACCUGCAAAUCUGGUUACCAAGGCAACAGAUGCCAGAAAGCCUGUUCUGCUGGCCUCUGGGGACUGGAGUGCCAGCUCUCCUGUGGACCCUGUGAGAAUGAAAGUCAGUGCAACAAAAGAACUGGAAACUUCAAUUGUCCUCCUGGUUACACAGGAAAAGCCUGUACCACACGUAAGUCAUUAACUUAGACAGAAUA
rnacentral:lncRNA from 1 species